rnacentral:rRNA from 1 species
GAUGAACGCUGGCGGCGUGCUUAACACAUGCAAGUCGAACGGUGAACACGGAGCUUGCUCUGUGGGAUCAGUGGCGAACGGGUGAGUAACACGUGAGCAACCUGCCCCUGACUCGGGGAUAAGCGCUGGAAACGGCGUCUAAUACUGGAUACGAGUAGCGGCCGCAUGGUUAGUUACUGGAAAGAUGUUUUGGUUGGGGAUGGGCUCGCGGCCUAUCAGCGUGAUGGUGAGGGCAGAGCUCACCAAGGCGGCGACGGGUAGCCGGCCUGAGAGGGUGACCGGCCACACUGGGACUGAGACACGGCCCAGACUCCUACGGGAGGCAGCAGUGGGGAAUAUUGCACAAUGGGCGCAAGCCUGAUGCAGCAACGCCGCGUGAGGGAUGACGGCCUUCGGGUUGUAAACCUCUUUUAGUAGGGAAGAAGCGCAAGUGACGGUACCUGCAGAAAAAGCACCGGCUAACUACGUGCCAGCCGCCGCAGUAA